rnacentral:rRNA from 1 species
CCUACGGGUGACAGCAGUAGGGAAUUUUGCGCAAUGGGCGAAAGCCUGACGCAGCAACGCCGCGUGAUCGAGACGCCCUUCGGGGUUUAAAGAUCUGUCAGUGGGGACGAAACUUGACGGUACCCACCGAGGAAGCACCGGCUAACUCCGUGCCAGCAGCCGCGGUAAUACGGGGGGUGCAAGCGUUGUCCGGAAUCAUUGGGCGUAAAGAGUUCGUAGGCGGCACGUAAAGUCUGGUGUUAAAGGCAGAGGCUCAACUUCUGUACGGCAGUGGAUACUUGCGGGCUAGAGUGCGGUAGAGGUAGAGGGAAUGCCUGGUGUAGCGGUGAAAUGCUUAGAUAUCAGGAGGAACAUCGGUGGCGUAGGCGCUUUGCUGGGCCGUAAUUGACGCUGAGGAACGAAAGCGAGGGUAGCAAAUGGGAUUAGAUACCCGUGUAGUC